rnacentral:ncRNA from 1 species
AUUUAAAAGGAAAAAUAAUGUGUGGUUUUUUUUUAAUGUUACUUAAGAAAGAUGAUAUGUCGCAAUGAAGGUGAAGGCCAGUGGCUUGCCCACCAGCUGAAGUGGGAUCCCGAGCUUUCUCCAGUCCUCCAAGGGUGUACCACUAGCCUGUCUUGCCCACUGCACCAGGGAGGUGGAGCAUGAGCACAUGUGUUAGGACCUGGAAGAUGGUGAACUAACUAUGCCCGGACAAGACAAAGCCGGAGGAAAUUCAGGUAGCGGUCCUGAUGUGCAAGUCGGUCAUCUGAUCUGGGUAUAGAGGUGAAAGACCAAUUGAACCAUCCCUCAGGGUAGCUGGCGCUCUUGCAGAAAUAAAAAACAUGAAAACAACCCAGACAGUUUAAUCCUUUAAAGCCAAAGAUUAGAGGUCUUGGGGCCAAAGUGAUCUCAACCUAUUCUCAAACUUUAAAUGGGUAAGAAGCCCAGCAGGAUGGCAUGGAUCUGGGCAUGAACGUGAGUGCCUAGUGGGCCAUUUUUGGUAAGCAGAACUAGCACUGUGGGAAGAACCACACAUCAGGUUAAGGUGCCUGAUGCCAAUGCUCAGCAGACCCCAGAAAAGGUGUUGAUUGAUACAGACUGCAGGAUGGUGGCCAUGGAAGUUGGACUCAGGAGUGUGUAACAACUCACCUGCUGAAUCAAGUAGCCCUGAAAGUGGAUGGUGCUGGAGAGUGGGGACCAUACCUGGCCAUCGCUGGCGGUCAAAACACGGUGGACAGGGGCGAAAGCAACCUGAGAUUGCUACGCCAUUACAAGUAGGAGAGCCACUGUGGUGAGCCUUGAGGCCUAGGGCCGCAGCCCAGGUGGAGCUGCCGCAGGUGCAGAUCUUGGUGACAGUAGCAAAUAUUUAAAUGAGAACUUUCAUGACUAAAGAGGAGAAAGGUCCCAUGUGAACAGCAGUUGAACAUGGGUCAGUCGGUCCUGAGAGAUGGGUGAGCGCCCUUCCAAAGAGACAGGUGAUGGCCUCCAUUGCCUUCCACCAAUCAAAAGGGAGUCGGGUUCAGACCAUGGAAUCUGGAGUGGCGGAGAUGGGCACUGUGAGGUGUUCAGAAUGGUAAUUGAUCCCAGAGAAGUGGGCAGGAACCCCGGAGAGAGUUCUCCUUUCUUUGUGAAUGGCAGGGCUGCCCUGGAAUAGAUUAGCCCGGAGAGAGGGGACCAUGCCUUGGAAAGUAUUGCAGUUCUGGCGGUGUCUAGUGACAAAUAAUAAUAAUAAUAAUAAAAAUAAAUGCAUAAAUAAAUUAGUUAAAAAGUAACAAGAUGUAUGCUUGUGUUAGCCCUACCAAAAGUAAAUAAAGCUGGAGGC